rnacentral:rRNA from 1 species
UGGGGAAUAUUGCACAAUGGGCGCAAGCCUGAUGCAGCCAUGCCGCGGGUAUGAAGAAGGCCUUCGGGUUGUAAAGUUCUUUCAGCGGGGAGGAAAGGAGUAAAGUUAAUACCUUUGCUCAUUGACGUCACCCGCAGAAGAAGCACCGGCUAACCCCGUGCCAGCAGCCGCGGUAAUACGGAGGGUGCAAGCGUUCAUCGGAAUUACUGGUCGUAAAGCGCACGCAGGCGGUUUGUUAAGUCAGAUGUGAAAUCCCCGGGCUCAACCUGGGAAGUGGAUCUGAUACUGGCAGGCUUGAGUCUCGGAGAGGGGGGUAGGAUUCCGGGUGUAGCGGUGAAAUGCGUAGAGAUCUGGAGGAAUACCGGUGGCGAAGGCGGCCCCCUGGACGAAUACUGACGAUCAGGGGCGAAAGCGUGGGGAGCAAACAGG